rnacentral:rRNA from 1 species
AUUGAACGCUGGCGGCAGGCCUAACACAUGCAAGUCGAGCGGUAGAAGGGAGCUGGCUCCUGCAUUCAGCGGCGGACGGGUACGUAAUGCCUAUGAAUCGGCCUCGUCGUGGUGGAUAACGUCCGGUAACGGGCGCUAAUACCGCAUCCGUCCUGCGUGGGAAAGUGAGGGAUCUUCGGACCUGACGCUAUCAGCUGCGCCUAGGUCGGAUUAGCUAGUUGGUGGGGUAAAGGCCUACCAAGGCGACGAUCCGUAUCUGGUCUGAGAGGAUGAUCAGUCACACUGGAACUGAGACACGGUCCAGACUCCUACGGGAGGCAGCAGUGGGGAAUAUUGGACAAUGGGCGAAAGCCUGAUGCAGCCAUGCCGCGUGUGUGAAGAAGGUCUUCGGAUUGUAAAGCACUUUAAGUUGGGAGGAAGGGAAGAAAGUUAAUACCUUGCUGUAUUGACGUUACCAACAGAAGAAGCACCGGCUAACUUCGUG